UCCGGUUUGUCACCGGCAGUCUCACUAGAGUGCCCUUGCGUAGCAACUAAUGAUAAGGGUUGCGCUCGUUGCGGGACUUAACCCAACAUCUCACGACACGAGCUGACGACGGCCAUGCAGCACCUGUGUUCUAGCUCUCUUUCGAGCACGAAUCCAUCUCUGGAAACUUCUAGACAUGUCAAGGGUAGGUAAGGUUUUUCGCGUUGCAUCGAAUUAAACCACAUCAUCCACCGCUUGUGCGGGCCCCCGUCAAUUCCUUUGAGUUUCACCGUUGCCGGCGUACUCCCCAGGUGGAUUACUUAUCGCUUUCGCUAAGCCACUAAAAGUUGCCUUCUAGCAGCGAGUAAUCAUCGUUUACAGUGCGGACUAC
rnacentral:misc_RNA from 1 species